rnacentral:rRNA from 1 species
GACAGAGGGUGCAAACGUUGUUCGGAAUUACUGGGCGUAAAGCGCGUGUAGGCGGCCCUGCAAGUCGGGUGUGAAAUCCCACGGCUCAACCGUGGAAGUGCACUCGAAACUGCAGGGCUAGAGUCCUGGAGAGGGAAGGUGGAAUGCUUGGUGUAGAGGUGAAAUUCGUAGAUAUCAAGCGGAACACCGGUGGCGAAGGCGGCCUUCUGGACAGUGACGUGACGCUGAGACGCGAAAGCGUGGGGAGCAAACAGGGAUUAA